rnacentral:rRNA from 1 species
UGCAAGUCGAGCGGGCGUAGCAAUACGUCAGCGGCAGACGGGUGAGUAACGCGUGGGAACGUACCUUUUGGUUCGGAACAACACAGGGAAACUUGUGCUAAUACCGGAUAAGCCCUUACGGGGAAAGAUUUAUCGCCAAAAGAUCGGCCCGCGUCUGAUUAGCUAGUUGGUGUGGUAACGGCGCACCAAGGCGACGAUCAGUAGCUGGUCUGAGAGGAUGAUCAGCCACAUUGGGACUGAGACACGGCCCAAACUCCUACGGGAGGCAGCAGUGGGGAAUAUUGGACAAUGGGCGCAAGCCUGAUCCAGCCAUGCCGCGUGAGUGAUGAAGGCCCUAGGGUUGUAAAGCUCUUUUGUGCGGGAAGAUAAUGACGGUACCGCAAGAAUAAGCCCCGGCUAACUUCGUGCCAGCAGCCGCGGUAAUACGAAGGGGGCUAGCGUUGUUCGGAUUCAUUGGGCGUAAAGGGUGCGUAGGUGGCGUGGUAAGUCGGGUGUGAAAUUUCGGAGCUUAACUCCGAAACUGCAUUCGAUACUGCCGUGCUUGAGGACUGGAGAGGAGACUGGAAUUUACGGUGUAGCAGUGAAAUGCGUAGAGAUCGUAAGGAAGACCAGUGGCGAAGGCGGGUCUCUGGACAGUUCCUGACACUGAGGCACGAAGGCCAGGGGAGCAAACGGGAUUAGAUACCCCGGUAGUCCUGGCAGUAAACGGUGCACGUUUGGUGUGGGAGGAUUCGACCCCUUCGCGCCGGAGCUAACGCGUUAAACGUGCCGCCUGGGGAGUACGGUCGCCAGAUUAAACUCAAAGAAUUGACGGGGGCCCGCACAAGCGGUGGAGUAUGUGGCUAAUUCGAUGCACCCCGAAGAACCUUACCUGGCUGACGUGUNNAUCUCUCUAGCACGUGGAAGNNGUGGAUGUCGAAGAC